UACGGAGGGUGCAAGCGUUAUCCGGAUUUACUGGGUUUAAAGCGUGUGUAGGCGGAUUUGUAAGUACCUUGUGAAAUCCCACGGCUCAACCGUGGAACUGCUCGGUAUACUGCUUAUCUUGAGCCACUUAGGGGCUACCGGAACAAAUGGUGGAGCGGUGAAAUGCGUAGAUAUCAUUUGGAACGCCAAUGGUGAAAACAGGUAGCUGGGAGUGUGCUGACGCUGAGACACGAAAGCCAGGGGAGCGAACGGG
rnacentral:rRNA from 1 species